CGCGUAGGCGGGCUUUUAAGUUGGGGGUGAAAUCCCGGGGCUCAACUCCGGAACUGCCUCCAAAACUGGAAGCCCUGAGGUAUGGAGAGGGAAGUGGAAUUCCUGGUGUAGCGGUGAAAUGCGUAGAUAUCAGGAGGAACACCCGUGGCGAAGGCGGCUUCCUGGCCAUAUCCUGACGCUGAGGUGCGAAAGCUAGGGGAGCGAACGGGAUUAGAUACCCCGGUAGUCCUAGCCGUAAACGAUGGAUACUAGGUGUUAGAGGUAUCGACCCCUCUAGUGCCGAAGCUAACGCAUUAAGUAUCCCGCCUGGGGAGUACGGCCGCAAGGCUGAA
rnacentral:rRNA from 1 species